rnacentral:rRNA from 1 species
GACGAACGCUGGCGGCGUGCCUAAUACAUGCAAGUUGAGCGCUGAAGGUUGGUACUUGUACCGACUGGAUGAGCAGCGAACGGGUGAGUAACGCGUGGGGAAUCUGCCUUUGAGCGGGGGACAACAUUUGGAAACGAAUGCUAAUACCGCAUAAAAACUUUAAACACAAGUUUUAAGUUUGAAAGAUGCAAUUGCAUCACUCAAAGAUGAUCCCGCGUUGUAUUAGCUAGUUGGUGAGGUAAAGGCUCACCAAGGCGAUGAUACAUAGCCGACCUGAGAGGGGGCUCGGCCACAUUGGGACUGGAACACGGCCCAAACCCCUACGGGAGGCAGCCGUAGGGAAUCUUCGGCAAUGGACGCAAGUCUGACCGAGCAACGCCGCGUGAGUGCAGAAGGUUUUCGGAUCGUAAAACUCUGUUGGCAGAGAAGAACGUUGGUGAGAGUGGAAAGCUCAUCAAGUGACGGUAACUACACAGAAAGGGACGGCUAACUACGUG